UUUAAGGUUACAGGUAACCAUGACGGGGAA
rnacentral:piRNA from 1 species